rnacentral:rRNA from 1 species
GAGGAAAGCUGGCGGCGUGCUUAACACAUGCCAGUCGAACGGAAAGGCCCUGCUUUUGUGGGGUGCUCGAGUGGCGAACGGGUGAGUAACACGUGAGUAACCUGCCCUUGACUUUGGGAUAACUUCAGGAAACUGGGGCUAAUACCGGAUAGGAGCUCCUGCUGCAUGGUGGGGGUUGGAAAGUUUCGGCGGGUGGGGAUGGACUCGCGGCUUAUCAGCUUGUUGGUGGGGUAGUGGCUUACCAAGGCUGUGACGGGUAGCCGGCCUGAGAGGGUGACCGGCCACAUUGGGACUGAGAUAAGGCACAGACUCCUACGGGAGGCAGCAGUGGGGAAUAUUGCACAAUGGGCGGAAGCCUGAUGCAGCAACGCCGCGUGCGGGAUGACGGCCUUCGGGUUGUAAACCGCUUUCGCCUGUGACGAAGCGUGAGUGACGGUAAUGGGUAAAGAAGCACCGGCUAACUACGUG